AUUUCGAAAUUGAAUUGGCUCGCUUGUGAUUUUCAUAUUCUUCGUUUUGAUACACAAUUUGUUACUGUAAAAAUCAAUUCUUCUUCUCACGGGUUCACAAGAUCAUUUUCAAGCUUGGGAUUGCAAUAUAGGCCAAUUGUUUUUUGGUAAUUGAGAAUCCAUUGGAAGACCGAGUGAUUCAAGGCUGUCAAACCUUCCUAAUUACAAGGAAGAAUAUAAAGGCAACUAUCUAAAAGACUUGAUCUUAUUCAACCGUCUCAGGGUUAUUGAGUUUUAUUAUUUUUACUUUUAUUUUUUUUUAUUUUUUUAUUUUUUAUUUUCAUUUUUAUUUUUGCUUUUUGCUUUUUAUUUUAUGUUUCUAUUUAUGUUUUCAGAUUUUUGUGUUUAGUUUUUUAUUUUUUAUUUUUUAUUCUAUUUUCUUUUUGUAGCUUAGAUUUUUGUAUUUAUUGUUUUCUCUAUUUCUAUUUCUAUUUUUAGUUUCUAUUUUUAUUUUUAUUUUUUAUUUUUUAAAUUUAUAUUUAUAUUUUUAAUUCUAUUUCUAUUUCUUAUUUUCGGCUGCUAUCCUAUUUUUGUUUUUUUUUUCAAUUUUUAUUUUUACUUUUUGUUUUGUAUUUCAAUUUCUAAUUUAUGUUUAUAAUUUUUAUUUUAUUUUCAGUUUAUAUUUUUAUUUCUGUUUUUUAUUUAUUUUAUGUUUUUCAUUUUAUAUUAUCUUUUCAGUUUCUAUUUCUAUUUUUUAUUUUUUAAUUUUUAGUUUCAGUUUUUAUUUUUUAUUUUAAUUAUCUAUUACUAUUACUAUUUUUAUUUUUAUUUUUUUAUUUUUAAAAUUAUAGAGUUAUAUUUGAAGUCUAUUCUAUUCUUUUCUGUUAGUGAUGUAUUUCUAUUUCUCAUUUUUUUUCUUAUUUUGAAUUUUCUUCUAUUUUGUUUUUAUUUUUAUUUCUUUUUUCCAAUUUUAUUUUUAUUUUUAAUUCUAUUCUAUUUCGAUUCUAUUCUAUUCUUUUUAGUUGAUUCUACUCUAUUUUUGAUUUCAUUUCUAUGUUAUAUUUUUUUUUGUUUAAUUGUAUUUAUGUUUCUAUUUAUGUAUUCAGUCUUUUUUAUCUUCUCAAAUUUUAUUUUUUAUUUUUGUUUUUAUUUUUUAUUCCUUUUUUGAGUUUUUUUAAUUUUUUUAUGUUUUUACUUUUUUUAUGAUCUCAAUUUUUAUUCUAUUUCAAUUAAUAAUUCUAUUUCAAGUUUUUAUUUUUAUUUUUGUUUUAGUUUUUUUAAUUUUUUUUAUAUAAAUUUCUAUUUUUAUUUUUUUCGUUGUUAUUUUUAUAUUCUGAUUAUAUAUUUUAGUUCCUGUUUUUUUUUUUUAUGAAUCUAUUCCUAUUUCAAUUUUUAGUUUAUAAUUCUAUUUUUAAUUUUAAUUUUUUUUUUUUUGUUCAGUUUCUAUUUCUGUUUUUAUGGAUAUUUUUCUAUUACCUGUUUCUAUUCUUGUUUUUUUAUUUUUUCUAUGUUCUCUUUUUUUUAUUUUUUGUUCUUAGUUUUAUUUCAAUUUCUAUUUAUAGUUCUUAAUUUUUAAUAUUUAUUUCUAUUUUCUUUUUUAUUUUCAAUUUGAAUUUGAAUUUGAAUUUUUUAUUUCUAUUUUUCAUUUUUAUAGGUUUCUGUUUGUUUUUUAUUUUCAGUUUCCAUUUCUAUUUUCUGUUUUUAGUUUUAUUUCUAUUUUCAUUUAUGAUUUUCAUUUUUUGUUUUAUUUGUUUUUGUAAUUUUUUUCUGCUUUCAAUUUUUAUUAUUUAACUUCUAUUUAUGUUUUCAGUUUUUUUAAUGUUCGCAUAUUUUAUUUUCUCUUUCUCUUUUUGAUUUUUUGUUUUUAUUUUUUUGUUUUUGUUUUUAUUUUCUAUUUUUAUUUUUAAUUCUUUAUUCUUUACAUCUUUUCUUUUUUUAUUUCUGUUUUUUAAUUUAAUUUCUGUUUCUACUUUUGUUUUUGUUUUUUUAAAAUUUUUUUUGGUUAAUUUUAUGUUUUCUGUUUUUCUGUUUUACAUUUAAAUCUGUUUUUCGUUUUUUUUUUAGUUUUAGGGCUUUAUUUUAAUUUUAAGUUUCUAUUUCUUCUUUUUGGUUUAUGUUUUUAUUUUCAGUUUUAUUUACAGUUUUUAUUUUUUUAUCUUUUUUUAUUUCUUUUUUGUGUUUUAGUUUGCAAUUUAUUUUUUUUUAGUUUUUUUAUAUGAUCUUAGUUUUAUUUUUUAUUUUCAGUUUAUAUUUCUAGAUUUGUUUUUAGUUUUCAGUUUUCAGUUUUAAUUUUUGGUUUUAUUUUUUAUUUUCUAUUUCUUUGUAUUUCUGUUUUUGUUUUUUGUAUCUUUUUUUAAUUUUAAUUUUAAUUUUUGUUUUCUUUUCUAUUUCUAUUCUCUAUUUUUAUUUUUAUUUUCUGGUUUUAGUUUAUAUUUUUUACAUUUUUAUUUUUAAUUUCUAUCGUUUUCAUUUCUGUUUUGAUUUUUGGGUUUUAUUUUUUAUUUUUAUUUCUGGUUUUAGU
rnacentral:lncRNA from 1 species